GCGGGAUUGGUCUAGUGGUUAGGAUGUUGGCUUCCCAAGCCAACGGCGCGGGUUCGAAUCCCGCAUCCCGCACCA
rnacentral:tRNA from 2 species